CUCCCAGUUCAGGGAGGUAGUGACAAUAAAUACCUUACAGAGGUCUCGUUAACCGAGAUCUCUCAAACGGAAUGAGUACAACGUGAAUCCUUUAACGAGGAUCGACUGGAGGGCAAGCCUGGUGCCAGCAGCCGCGGUAAUUCCAGCUCCAGUAGCGUAUAUUAAAGCUGUUGCGGUUAAAAAGCUCGUAGUUGGAUAUCAGUGCGUGUCCGGUCCGGUAUGCCCGGCGGCGUCGCUCGCGCGUCGCUGCUGGGCUCCCAAAUAUCGGCUGGCCGCAUUCAAUGGUGCCGGAUCCGUCGGCGGGCCGUUCUUCGGAGGGGCCUGCUGGCGACCGGCGACGUUACCUUGAACAAAUUAGAGUGCUCAAAGCAGGCUCUGAAUGCCUGUAUACAUAUUCAUGGAAUUGGAGAAUACGUCCCUGGCUCGAUUUGGUUGGUUUUGAGAGUCGAAGGGAAAUGAUUAAUAGGGACUGACGGAGGCAUUCGUAUUGCGACGCGAGGGGUGAAAUCCUGUGACCGUCGCACGACGAACUACUGCGAAAGCAUUUGCCGAGAAUGUUUUCAUUAGUCAAGAACGAAAGUUAGAGGUUCGAAGGCGAUCAGAUACCGCCCUAGUUCUAACCGUAAACGAUGUCGACCAGCAAUCCGCAACGGUCACUACACGGACUGUGCGGGCAGCUUCCCCGGGGAAACCAGAGUGUAUGGACUCCGGGGGAAGUAUGGUUGCAAAGCUGAAACUUAAAGGAAUUGACGGAAGGGCACCACCAGGAGUGGAGCUUGCGGCUUAAUUUGACUCAACACGGGACAACUCACCAGGCCCGGACACCGUAAGGAUUGACAGACUGAUAGCUCUCUCUUGAUUCAGUGGGUGGUGGUGCAUGGCCGUNCUUA
rnacentral:rRNA from 1 species